GGAAUAUACAUGUAUAUGUUUAAAAACCUCAUGAACAAGCGAAGAAAUAGGAUCAUAAAAAGGCAGUCUAUGGAGAUGCAGUUCAUGGCAGUCCUUAUUCCAAUUGGUCAAGGAUUAUGUGUAUGCUGCAGAAACAAAUGAAUUUGGCUCUUAUCAUCACAACAGAGUCUGUCAAAAGGGAGACAUAAAACAGAAAAUAGUGUUGAGGAAAAUGAUGAGAACAGUCCAGUGAAUACCCAGACCAACAAGACAGUCAGACAUACAAUGCUAGAUGAACAAAUAAUAAACAAACUGAACUCGCUAAAAUAUUGAGCAAUUCAACAUUAAUUUAUUGUCACUUUGUUGUGUAUUUUUAUUUUUUUUUUCAUGACUUGGAAUAUAUUUUGAAUAUUAAUUUGAAGAAUUAUUUAUAAGUUUUUAAGUAAGUGUUGAUUUUUAUUUCUGGAGUUGCAUUGAAAAGAUAUAUCAUUUUCCCCUUGUGCUGAUAUUUAGAGUUAUCUGCCCUUUAUCAUAAAAAAAAUCAAUUUAAGCCUUCUUAAAGUGGUUAAAAUCAUAAAUAUUGUUAUCUAUUCAAGCAGUUAACCUAAUUCAUUGAUGGAAAAUAUCUAAAAACAGAAUUUCAUGCUAUUAUUAUUUGUUAAGACUCAAUUAAUAGACUUUCUUGCUUGGAGUUAUCUGCCCUUUGCAAAAAAAAUAUAAAGAAACAAUUUUUAUAAAGCCAAAUUAAAUUAUCCUGAUACAUUGAAUUUUAAAUAUUUUAAAAUAUUUCAUAAGUUUUUCAUUUAUUUAAGCAGAAAAAGUAUUUUCAAGGAGUUUUAUGAUCAACUUAUUGUUUAAAAAAUAUUUCAUAAAAUUUUUUAGGGGGUUGGGAAGGUGUCAAAUUAAGAAAUUUUGGAAGUAAAAUAAACAGAAACGAAAAAGAUACCCGCUCUAGUUUUUAUAAAUAAUAUUUUAUAUACAUAUGAUGUUUUAAAAUUUGCAAUUGAUUUAUUUUUUCUUUGCCUGCAAUUUUUGAGAGACUUUCAAAAAUACAGGGUGAAAAUUGAAAUAUCAAAAUUUAGAAAUUUUGGCCAUCUUUGAGCCACCAGCUUUAAAAUAAACAAGGACAUCAAGAUUUUUUUUCUCUUGCAUCAUGUACAUCUAUAUUUGUACUAUGUAUGUUAUGUGUGAAAUAUCUAGAAAAUUUAUAAA